GAUGAAGAACGCAGCGAAUUGCGAUAAGUAAUGUGAAUUGCAGAAUUCAGUGAAUCAUCGAAUCUUUGAACGCACAUUGCGCCCCUUGGUAUUCCGAGGGGCAUGCCUGUUCGAGCGUCAUUAUAACCCCUCAAGCUCAGCUUGGUAUUGGGGCCUGCCAUCCUGGCAGCCCUUAAAAUCAGUGGCGGUGCCAUCCGGCUCUAAGCGUAGUAACUCCUCUCGCUAUGGAGUCCUGGUGGAUGCUUGCCAUUAAUCUUUUAACUUCUAUGGUUGACCUCGGAUCAGGUAGGGAUACCCGCUGAACUUAAGCAUAUCAAUAAGCGGAGGA
rnacentral:misc_RNA from 1 species